rnacentral:misc_RNA from 1 species
GCAUUCUCAUCAGAGUCGUUUAAUUAGAUCUGUAUUAGAAACAUAACUUUUUAAAUUGUAAAUACCACUAAAAUAUGGUGGUGGUUUACCUAUAUAAGACAAAUUAAUGUCAUUCAGCGCCUAGAUCGUAUGUACCCUGGCAUAAUAACAAUUAACAAGCAAGCAUAGGUUGCCCCAACUCCUAAUGGCUCUCAUGUCACAAGCGAGUGCAGAUCAGACGAGCCUCGUCAUCAGCUGAUGACUCCAUUAGGUCAUGAUGAUACAAGAGUUGGUGUCGGGAUCGACCAGCGCCGGCACGAGAUACUUCCUGCCGUUCCGGCCGACCACGUUGUACCCAGCUCCGGUAGCCGUGUCAAGCCUGACAGCGCCGGGGUACCCCGGGUACGCGCCGCGGCCGUAGACGCCGGGGCAUGCAGCCGCCACCUCCACGGGUGCGCCGGGGUCGCCCUGGAAGUAUCCGUGCCCAUAUGGGUUGGUGACCGCGCCCGCCAGCAGCGCCGCGAGGUUGAUCAGCAUGCCGUCCACACCGACGUCGCCGUUUGGCGCGGCCAGCGUCUCGCCGCGGCCGCGCCCGGGCACAUGCCUGGCGCCGUAUGCGAAGCCCUCGGCCGGGUGGAAUGGCCACGCGCACCGCCCCGGGCACUGAACGGCGGCGUCGCCCACCCACACGUGCGCGGCUCCCCCAGGCGCGGAGGCCCCGUGCGUCCCGCACGCGCUGCUGCAUUGUCCCUCGACGGCGACGUCGGCGGCAGUGAGCACGACGGCCACGCCUCCUGGCGCGACGCCGAGCCGCGCCGCCAGCCGCUCGACCUGGACCCUGGACAGCGUCUUCCCCAGCGAGCACGCCUCGUCGUGCACCUGGUUGGCCAGAAGCACCCGCGGCGGCUCCCGGCCGGCCUUGCGCGCGUACCGGUCCACCGUCUCCCACCAGCGGGCCACCGACGGCGCAGGCGCGGGUCCUGGCGUCCCAAAUCCGUGGCGCUGCGGCUGGCGGCCGCGCGGGGAGAGGGAGAGCAGGAAGUCGGCGAUGACGGCCUUCUGGUGUGGCGAGAAGGCGCCGUAGUAGAGGACGGAGACCGGCACGGCGCCGUCGAGCACCUCGCCGGCGUGGUAGACCAUGGCGGACGGCGGCGGCGGGCGGUAGAGCGAGGAGUGGCACGGGCGCGCCAAACUGAGCAACAGGACGGCGAGGUGGACGGCGCCACAGCCGACGCACGAUGUUGCCUGCUUGCCCAUGGUUGUGGCGGUUUUGUCUUGCGCACCGAUCGAGCUGCGCUUGCACACUAUGCAACACGCAAGGUUGUGAGGCAGGCAGCUAG